UACGUAGGGUGCGAGCGUUAAUCGGAAUUACUGGGCGUAAAGCGUGCGCAGGCGGUUUUGUAAGCCAGGUGUGAAAUCCCCGGGCUCAACCUGGGAAUGGCAUUUGGGACUGCAAGGCUGGAGUGCGGCAGAGGAGACUGGAAUUCCUGGUGUAGCAGUGAAAUGCGUAGAUAUCAGGAGGAACACCGAUGGCGAAGGCAGGUCUCUGGGCUGACACUGACGCUCAUGCACGAAAGCGUGGGGGGCAAACAGG
rnacentral:rRNA from 1 species